GGCCCGGCCCCGCUGUGCUGGGCGGCGGGCGGAGCGCCCCCAUCGGCGGCCGGGCUCCGGGGGGGGGAAAGGGGCCGCGCCUCGGCACCGGGGGUGGCGGCGGGAACGCCCCGGGGCGCUGAGGGGGGAGCAUGGGGAGAUGGAGAGAGGGGGGCAGAGCCCUGCCCGGGUACCUGGCGGGCUCAGCCCUGCCAGCCUUCCCCUCCCGCUCCUUUUAUUUUUAACGCUGAGGCUUGUGAGAAGCCUGUGAGGUUGCUCAGGAAGCCUGAGGAACCAGAACCAAAGUCUGCUCCCUUAGCGUGUUUCAUGCCAACUGCCUGAAAUACAUCCAUGCACCACUUCGUGCGUUCUCCCCUUCGCUGACCUAUAAAUGGUCCUCGGCCGCCUUUUGGCUGGAACGGUUUAGGAAUUGACCACAUCAGCAGAUUCAUCAGCCUUUCGGAUAUGGUUGCUGUCUUGCAAUCCAGCCUGUGAUCCUCUGCCAAGUACUUCCUCAGCUCCUUGUAUGCCCAAAUUGGUGUAAGGCUCAACACAAAUAAAUGGUGCUUGCCCCUCUUUUUGAGAGCCAUGGUCAUCAAGCUUUAGAUUGCAAAUUGUUUGCUGCAAGGACAUCAGCUUCUGUUUCUUUAAAUCUAGUUAUAAAGCGUAUCGAUAUGUAUGGGCCUGUAACAUCGAAUGCUAGGGUAUCUUACAGUCAACUUCUAGGUGGCCAUUAACCAAAAUGGCCAAUUUGAAACACAGAAGCAUGACUCACAAGUGACAUUACCAUAUCUCACAUGACUCACUGAAACAUCGACAGUAAUAUUCCUCAGGUAUGAAAAUCAGAGCUUCAUAAUGUAAGCAACAUUUGUGUUUUCCUGUACUUUGUAUAAACCAGUUGUUUGCUCUUAGACAGACGAUCAGGGAAUCCGUUCCUUCAGCCCACUCUCCUAAAAAAAACAAACACCUAGGUCACUGCAUAAAUGGCAGUCUUAGUGUAUACUAUACAACCUCUCUGAUAUAAUAAAGGGCAUAGUGGAGAGUAGUUCAGCUACACUGCACAGAAGAGGAAAAUUAUAAUCUAAUAUAAUAGGUGUAUGUUUUUCUCCAGGGAUAGAGAUCAAAAUAUUCAAUUUGCCAGAUUUAGAUUAGCAAUGUUGCCAAGAUACAUAUUCUAGGAAAGUGGAGCUAUGUAAUAUUAAAGCUCUACUCCCUUGGUCUAAAAGCUGUGUGCCCUUUAUAUAACCUUGGAUUGAGAUCAUGCACUAUUUUAUUUUUUAUUUUUUGAAAGUUGCCUUCUUUUAGCAAGAGCCAUUAAAGCAUUAUUAUCUUAUUUAAGAGACUACCUCUAGAACAACAGGAGGGACAGUUUCUUACUUAGUGUAAUCUGACAUUGGCAGAAGGUAAUGGGGAGUAGGAAGUCAUCAAGGAACAUGUUCUGGGAGAGAAGAUACUGUGUUUUUUGUUUGUUUGUUUGUUUGUUUGUUUGUUUUUUAGCUCUUCAACGUUUGGUUAGUAUUUUUGUAAGAAAAAAGAACUGGAGAAAAGCACUUCCUGGCUCUGGACACCAUGUCAAUUCCAAGCCUAGGAAUGGAAUGGGUUGCUCUGGAUUUUCCCUUCAAAACUCCAUAGUUUGCAGCUGAGUUGAUGGACUUAAAAAGCACUCUGAGAAAACUUCUUACAUCGUUCUAAGCUUUGUGUUCAAUUCCAUUAUCUCAGCUCACUGUAUUGAAUACUGUGUUGUUUGGUUGUUCAGGAGACAAAAAAAAAAAUGGUGAUCUUUUAGACAGUGUUUUAUAAAGAGAGACAUACUGUAUUCCCAUAUGAGCAUUAAAGUCACUACAUCUCUUUUGGUACGGUAGCGACUUGGCAUGGGACAAUCUUUGGAAAUUUUCCCUGAAGCUCCCACCAUGUUGCAUUCUUUGUGGCUCCUAGAGAUGUUGCAUUCCACAGGUUCUCUGCAAAAUCAGCCACGUCUAAUUUGUUCCCUGUAACAGGUAACAGCCUACAAAGGAAGUUCUGCACUGGGGGACCUUUCCAGGCUCAAAGCUGGAAGAAAUGUUGCAGAAGUGCUUGGGUUUUGCGCAUUUGACUGAGAAGUGUUUUGCAGACAGGGUAGCAAUGGAGCACAUUCAGCUGUGUGCCUCAAACCUAUCUGAUUUCCUACUUAGUAGGCAGCCAAACACACCUGGGAUGUCUUCUUUGCUGAUAUUAUCAUAACAAUCUUCUAUGCUUUUCUUGUCAGGUGUUAGGUAUAACAAAUAUUUUCAAGAAGUUAUGUUUUGCCAUAAAUGUUUUGCCAUAUGUGUU